rnacentral:rRNA from 1 species
UACGGAGGGUGCAAGCGUUAUCCGGAUUCACUGGGUUUAAAGGGUGCGUAGGUGGAUUGGUAAGUCAGUGGUGAAAUCUCCGGGCUUAACCCGGAAACUGCCAUUGAUACUAUCAGUCUUGAAUACCGUGGAGGUCAGUAGAAUAUGUCAUGUAGCGGUGAAAUGCUUAGAUAUGACAUAGAAUACCAAUUGCGAAGGCAGCUGGCUACACGUAUAUUGACACUCAGGCACGAAAGCGUGGGGAUCAAACAGG